rnacentral:rRNA from 1 species
GAUGAACGCUGGCGGCGUGCCUAAUACAUGCGAGUCGAGCGAACGGACGAGAAGCUUGCUUCUCUGAUGUUAGCGGCGGACGGGUGAGUAACACGUGGAUAACCUACCUAUAAGACUGGGAUAACUUCGGGAAACCGGAGCUAGUACCGGAUAAUAUUUUGAACCGCGUGGUUCAAAAGUGAAAGACGGUCUUGCUGUCACUUAUAGAUGGAUCCGCGCUGCAUUAGCUAGUUGGUAAGGUAACGGCUUACCAAGGCAACGAUGCAUAGCCGACCUGAGAGGGUGAUCGGCCACACUGGAACUGAGACACGGUCCAGACUCCUACGGGAGGCAGCAGUAGGGAAUCUUCCGCAAUGGGCGAAAGCCUGACGGAGCAACGCCGCGUGAGUGAUGAAGGUCUUCGGAUCGUAAAACUCUGUUAUUAGGGAAGAACAUAUGUGUAAGUAACUGUGCACAUCUUGACGGUACCUAAUCAGAAAGCCACGGCUAACUACGUG